rnacentral:lncRNA from 1 species
AUGAAGACUCACCCGCCAAACUCCACGCACAACUGCAGGAAUGGAGUCCUCAAUAAGGCUGUGCCUGGGGACAGGACACCUCCUGGCAGCCAGGUUUGGGCUCCACCCCCUGCUGUGACUUCUCUCUGGAUGACUUUCCUGUCCCUGAUGGACCCUUCAGGGCUCACUUCAGGUGACACACCCCCCAGGAAGCCCCCCCCCCAUGCCCAUCCUGUGUACCCACAGCCCCUCUGCCGACCCCUGGCAAAGCACCCUGAACUCUAUAGUGCUCUAUAAAAAUGUAUAUAGAAAUGUCCUGUGUGUCUCCUGUGCUCAGCUACAAGGUCCAAGGCAGGAAUUGGGCCUUGUAUUUCUUCUUGUUGGGUAAUGACUGCAGAGGCCCUAGCACGGUGACACCAAGUGGCAGCCGCACGGGAGCAGGAUGUUGUCUGUUUUGAUUACUAUGUGUUCCAAAGGCCUACAACAGUGCCUGCCACGAAGUGGACCUGCCAUCUAUGGUUAUGGGUAAAUGAGCGAGCAGAUGUUAAACCGAAUAAAGGAGAAUUCUGCUAUUAGAAGCUGUGUGACCU